rnacentral:rRNA from 1 species
GUAGGUGGCAAGCGUUGUCCGGAAUUAUUGGGCGUAAAGCGCGCGCAGGCGGUCCUUUAAGUCUGAUGUGAAAGCCCACGGCUCAACCGUGGAGGGUCAUUGGAAACUGGGGGACUUGAGUACAGAAGAGGAAAGCGGAAUUCCACGUGUAGCGGUGAAAUGCGUAGAGAUGUGGAGGAACACCAGUGGCGAAGGCGGCUUUCUGGUCUGUAACUGACGCUGAGGCGCGAAAGCGUGGGGAGCAAACAGGGAUUAGAUACCCUGGUAGUCCACGCCGUAAACGAUGAGUGCUAAGUGUUAGGGGGGUUUCCGCCCCCUUAGUGCUGCGGCUAACGCAUUAAGCACUCCGCCUGGGGAGUACGGCCGCAAGGCUG